AUUGAACGCUGGCGGCAGGCUUAACACAUGCAAGUCGAGCGGGGUGAUGGUGCUUGCACUAUCACUUAGCGGCGGACGGGUGAGUAAUGCUUAGGAAUCUGCCUAUCAGUGGGGGACAACAUCUCGAAAGGGAUGCUAAUACCGCAUACGUCCUACGGGAGAAAGCAGGGGAUCACUUGUGACCUUGCGCUAAUAGAUGAGCCUAAGUCGGAUUAGCUAGUUGGUGGGGUAAAGGCCUACCAAGGCGACGAUCUGUAGCGGGUCUGAGAGGAUGAUCCGCCACACUGGGACUGAGACACGGCCCAGGCUCCUACGGGAGGCAGCAGUGGGGAAUAUUGGACAAUGGGGGGAACCCUGAUCCAGCCAUGCCGCGUGUGUGAAGAAGGCCUUAUGGUUGUAAAGCACUUUAAGCGAGGAGGAGGCUCUUUUGGUUAAUACCCAAGAUGAGUGGACGUUACUCACAGAAUAAGCACCGGCUAACUCUGUGCCAGCAGCCGCCGUAA
rnacentral:rRNA from 1 species